CCAGACUCCUACGGGAGGCAGCAGUGGGGAAUAUUGCACAAUGGGGGAAACCCUGAUGCAGCAACGCCGCGUGAGUGAAGAAGUAUUUCGGUAUGUAAAGCUCUAUCAGCAGGGAAGAAGAUGACGGUACCUGAGUAAGAAGCCCCGGCUAACUACGUGCCAGCAGCCGCGGUAAUACGUAGGGGGCAAGCGUUAUCCGGAUUUACUGGGUGUAAAGGGAGCGUAGACGGUGAGACAAGUCUGAUGUGAAAGCCCGGGGCUCAACCCCGGGACUGCAUUGGAAACUGCCGGGCUGGAGUGUCGGAGGGGUAAGCGGAAUUCCUAGUGUAGCGGUGAAAUGCGUAGAUAUUAGGAGGAACACCGGUGGCGAAGGCGGCCUGCUGGACGGUAACUGACGCUGAGGCUCGAAAGCGUGGGGAGCGAACAGGAUUAGAUACCCCGGUAAC
rnacentral:rRNA from 1 species